rnacentral:rRNA from 1 species
AUUGACGGCUGGAACGAAUGGUUGGAUGAAAUAUUAACUGUUUCUAAAAAUUCAUAAUAGAAUUUUAUUUUUUAGUUCAAAAGCUAAAAUAUUAUUAAAAGACGAGAAGACCCUAUAAAUCUUUAUAUUUUAUUGGGGUGAUAUUAAAAUUUAAUAAACUUUUAAUUUAUAUUUUACAUAAAUUAAUGAAUUAUUGAUCCGUUAUUUACGAUUAAAAAUUUAAGUUACUUUAUGGAUAACACCGUAAUUUUUUUAGAGAGUUCAUAUUGCUAAAAAAGAUUGCGACCCCGAUGU